GCGACUGUCUGCGAUGUUUGUCAGAGCGCGUAUUGGUGUGGUCGCGAACAAGUGUGAAAGUGCUCUGGCCUAGUCAUCAAUUAUGGACUCCGAAACAAAUCCUACGUACGUGAUACUUACCAUCUUCGUUGUCACUUAAUUAACGGUUUGUGUCAUAAACAACUUUGUAGAAAGUCGCAAAAAUUCACUAACUUCGUCAAGUUUCGCUGCUUCUCCGCCGAAAGUCCAUUUCGAUGUUUACGACAUAUUUCGUUUAAUUCACAUCGUAAGACCUAAAAACUUACCAACUUAUCAACUUCGGCCGUUCGUCGCUUCUCAAGCGGGACCGAGAAUCAUCGAGUUACCACUUGGAGGCGCAUACUUCGAUAACACGAGCUGCGUCGUGUGAAGAGACUGGUUUAGCAAUAUCAUUAGCGAAACGGAGUCGGAAAUGGAUCUCACAACGUUUUGGAUUCUUGCCGAGCCGGAUGAUGUCGGAGGACUGGGUGGACUAUCGACUCUGAAAGACGUUCUUAGAGCUCGAAGAUGGAAACGGCAAAUGGACACGGUAAAUCCGUCUUGAACGGAUAAGAAGGACACGAAGCGGAAGAAGUGGCGAAGGUUUGGACGGCGAGACGGUACUAAAAUUCUUCGUGCCUCGAGGGUCGUUCUUCGACGUUUGCAGUAUGGCGUUGGCUCGCUCCUCAAGACCACCAGCUGUCUCCAUAGGAUGGAAACGAGUCUCCGGGGAUCCAUCGAGGCGGCUUGCCAACCAAUGGAAAAUAUUUUCUCCUCUAUCUAUGUCGGGGAAAGUUUAUCGUUCGUUACCAGCGAAUGGUUCCACCCCGGACGUCGUUCGUUGGCACGGCUGCUUGGACGUUUGACGAGCUGUUUGUUGGUUUGAUACUUCCCCGCCGGCGUCGUUGCUUCUCAAACCAGAUGAAAUAGCAACUUACGUAUCUUUAUAGGUUUGUAUAGGAGUUAAUCAUUGUUCGCAUUAUGUAAAUUUACUUCAUUUUAUUAAGGGUUAGCAUAGCCUAUCUACCUCAGCUAUAUUUUGACAAACGAGAUGUAUCUUUUUACAGAACGUACCGAGCUCCACAAUUUAUAUCUCUGUAGGAUCGUUUGUUAAUAUUUAUUGUUGGUAUUACGUUUUAUUUCAAGGAAGAAUAUAAGUAUCUUUCGAAACUGUAGGCUAUUAUCAUCGGGAUAACAGGGAUGAUAUAAAUCUUAAAUAUGUACUUCGUAGGAUCCUAUAUUGUCAGCACAGGUUUCUGCUUUACUUGUAAAUAUCGCGAUUUAAAACGGACGAGAUUUAGACCAUCGAUUUCGUUUCUGGUUAAAAGUGUUUAUAGACUUUCGCGAGGUCUGGUUCAUCAAAGCAUUUACACAGUUAAUCUGUGUAUUCCAGGAACGGAGCUUGCUGAGUGAGAUCCGUGAAUACAUAUAAUAAACGUUGCGAACGCUACUUAGAGAUUUCUGAAGGUUCGAAUGCGUGGAAACUUCGAUCGAAUCGUUUGACCGAACGCAGUUUAAU